rnacentral:rRNA from 1 species
UACGUAGGGUGCAAGCGUUAAUCGGAAUUACUGGGCGUAAAGCGUGCGCAGGCGGUUGUGUAAGUCAGAUGUGAAAUCCCCGGGCUCAACCUGGGAAUUGCAUUUGAGACUGCACGGCUAGAGUGUGUCAGAGGGGGGUAGAAUUCCACGUGUAGCAGUGAAAUGCGUAGAGAUGUGGAGGAAUACCGAUGGCGAAGGCAGCCCCCUGGGAUAACACUGAUGCUCAUGCACGAAAGCGUGGGGAGCAAACAGG